GGGAGCUUUUGACUUGCUUCCCCCCCUCCCUCCUGUUCUGAAAUAGCCAUUCCAGCUGUGCUUAAUCACCUUUCUCCUCACAGCUUUCUCUCAGGGUAAAAGCCAGCCACCUUAUUUCUUACUCCCUUUAACAUCUUCAGCCUGUCUUCAAGGCCAGAGCUCUGCUUGUCCCCAAAAACCUUGAGCGACUUCUGGAGAACGCCAAAAGUCUUCCUUUUGCUGCUGGACGGAAAGCUCCCUUUGGUUACAGCAAAACUGUUUGAUACUCCUACCGACACCACAACAGUUGGGGUGUUGGGAGAGAACGCUGGUUGCCAGGGAGCCAUGAACCUCUACCUGAACCAAUUCUGAGAGGAUGGAGAUAGAAGUCACCCUACGCUGGAAGAGAAGAAAGGCGGUGAAGGGUGUCAUCUUUUGGAAAGCCAGCCAGCAUGCAUCAGAAUCCUCAUUUUUGAUCAUUUGAGGCUGCUUGUUCUUCUCUCCAGAUGCACCAUCUGGCACAUUACCCCAUUCUUUUCUGAGGAAACCAAUGAUUUUGCCAUGUAAUGCAAAACACCAAUGGAAUCACUACAACAGCAAAAUGCCAGCGAUGUAUAGCAGCGGUUCAGCCACAAGCGAUGGCAUGUUAAUUUGGUUUGAUUUUUUUUUUCCAGUCUGUCAUCUGGGUUGUUCUUGGCAGCCAAUCUUAAAAGGGCAUUUUCCUCUCCUCUUUCUCAUUACUAAGGAUAAUCCAAGGAUGAGGGCAAUUGCUAAUUUUGUUAAUGGUUCCAUUUCACAUUUUGCUUCCCAAAGAAAUUUUUUAAAACUAGAUUACUACUUCAUUCUGGGGUUUUUUUUUCCCCUUGUCUUUUCAUCUGCCGAUCCCAGAUCCAGCUGAUUUCUCCAAAAUAGAUAAAAUGACAUAAAUGAUGCCCAGAUAAUCAAUGCUGGGGGGGGGGGGGGAUCAAGUUCAACAAAUCUAAUAAACAAAGUACAAGCAACCUGAUUUCAGUAACACAAGUUUCCUAAAUCAGACAGUUUUAUGCCUUCAUCUAAAGCAGCUGUCUCAAAAUGAAGCUUGGGGACUUCUAAACCACUUUGGAGAUUUAUCUGGAAGUU